AGUUCGCACCGAGCUGCGCUUGGGAGAGGAGUACAUGUGGAAGCCUGGUUGAAACCGAUGCUGUGCUGAAUAUUAUUUUUGUUUUAAACAGAAUAAACCUGCCUUAUCAGUCUUGGUCUGCUGGUUCU